UACGAAGGGUGCAAGCGUUGUUCGGAUUUAUUGGGCGUAAAGCGCGCGCAGGCGGGCCAGCAAGUCAGAUGUGAAAUCUCGGGGCUCAACCCCGAAACUGCGUCUGAAACUACUGGCCUAGAAUCUUGGAGGGGGAAGGGGAAUUUCACAUGUAGGGGUAAAAUCCGUAGAGAUGUGAAGGAACACCAGAGGCGAAGGCGCCUUCCUGGACAAGUAUUGACGCUGAGGCGCGAAAGCGUGGGGAUCAAAC
rnacentral:rRNA from 1 species